UACGUAGGUGGCAAGCGUUGUCCGGAAUUACUGGGCGUAAAGCGUGCGCAGGCGGUUCGCCAAGUCAGGUGUGAAAUCCCCGGGCUUAACCUGGGAAUUGCGCUUGAAACUAGCGGGCUUGAGUGCGGCAGAGGGGGGUGGAAUUCCACGUGUAGCAGUGAAAUGCGUAGAGAUGUGGAGGAACACCGAUGGCGAAGGCAGCCCCCUGGGUCGACACUGACGCUCAUGCACGAAAGCGUGGGGAGCAAACAGG
rnacentral:rRNA from 1 species